rnacentral:lncRNA from 1 species
GAGCUUUUGAUUCUCUGAUUGAUUUCAGACCUGUUGAGACCUCUAGGUUUCAAGAUCUAAGGUUUGUCUCCUCUGCGCUGACACUUACUUAAUAUUUGUAUCAAUCUUCGUGAUUGAUGUCAGGUUUAUUUCAUAUUUGUAUCAUUCUAUUUGAUGUUGGAUUGUUUGACUCGAAAAAGUCUUCUUACUUGUUGGGUUUUUCUUCAUAGGCAGUUGGUUCAUUCACCAUGUUGAAAAGUGAAUGCUCACACAUGACUCUUUGUUUUACUAUUUGGUUUCGUGUUUGUUAGCGGGUUCUUUGGAUAGUAUUGUCGUGUGUGUUAUUGCUUUAAUUAUUUUAAAAAGCGACUUUUGU